GGACGAUGUCUGAGGCCGUUUAUGAGGAAAUUUAUCACAGACAAAAUCACUUCACUCAGAAGGACAAAAUGGACCAAGAGGCUCCAGAAGAAUAUGUCAACACUGAUAGACUGAAUUAUGACACAACUGAGGUCUAUGAUGAUGCAACAACCAUGAGAGAAGAGCAUGGAGAAGAGGAGCCAAUUUAAGAUGAAAAAAGUGUGUGAUCAACUACUGCUUCUGCUGUUUCUUAUAAUUGUUGUUGUUAUUUGCUACCUGGUGCAUUUUAAUAUCAGGUAAUCAACUAAAUCAGCAUGUUUG